CCGAAUACUCGUACUUGCAUACUAUAUAGUAUGCAUUUUGUAGUAUGCGAAAAAUCUAGCGCGUCCGAAUACUCUAGUAUGCAUUCUGUAGUACGGAAGUCGUUUCCGAAUGCAUACUACCGCCAAAGUGUACCACGGACCACACUAUCCCACAAUGCAACCGGAGUCUGGUAACAAACGAAGAAGAGAUGGCUGACCCGACACCACCAACAGCGGCUUUUUAUGUGUGUGUGUGUGUGUGUGUGUGUGUGUGUGUGUGUGUGUGUGUGUGUGUGUGUGUGUGUGUGUGUGUGUGUGUGUGUGUGUGUGUGUGUGUGUGUGUGUGUGUGUGUGUGUGUGUGUGUGUGUGUGUGUGUGUGUGUGCGCGCGCGUGUCCAGUGGCGGAUUGGCCGUCGGGAGCACCGGGACGUUUCCCGGUGGCCUGAUGGUCCUCCUGGCCUGACUUGAACAGUCACCGGACUGAGUGACUGACGCCCGGGCCAAUCAAAUCGAUCCAUCUAGUUACGUAAUAACGCCGCUCGGCGACCUGUCGGCGUAACACAACAACCAA